GCGGCUUUACGUCAAAGUAGAUGUUUAUAAUACAAAAACAUCCGCCAGAAAACUACGAGCAAAACGCUUAAAACUCCAAGGACUUGGCGGUACCUCAAACCCCCCUAGAGGAGCCUGUUCUAUAAUCGAUAAUCCACGUUAAACCUUACCAUCCUUUGCCAACCCAGCCUAUAUACCGCCUUCUUCAGC
rnacentral:rRNA from 1 species